AUCCCACUGUGAAUAUCUAUAUAUGCUGCUAACACCCAGCCCAUAUUCUUCCUGAAGCCUUACUCAUGCACCCAGUGCACAAGAGUAGAAGAUGGAACGAAAUAUGGCUGGGACUACUGGUGUAUCCAAUGCACCCACAUACCUGGGUUGGUCCAUUUGUAACACAAUAUGCUGCUGCUUUCCUAUUGGAAUCAUUGCAAUUGUGUUCUCCAUCCGGACUGACACGGCCAACAACACUGGUGAUUCUGCAAGAGCUCAUGCGCAUUCUAGAAUGGCCAAGAACAUGAAUAUCGCUGCGCUGGUCUUUGGAAUCUUUUUGCUCAUCAUUUGCAUUGUCUAUUAUGCGAUCAUCUUUUCAAAAAUUUAUGCCAGCUCGCAUUAAGCUGGAGUGUUAUUGUUACAUAUGUCUCAUAGUAAUUGAAUACACUUUCCACUUGGCUCAAAUUCUACUGGUGUUUUUUGUUUAUUUGUUUGUUUUUGUUUGUUCAUUUUUGAUGAGAACCCCUUGUAUUAAGUGUAAUCCUGGAAUCAUUUCAUGACCAAAGACUCAUUGGGGAAACUAUGGAAAAUCUGUAGACUGACAUGGUAUUAACCACUGUUACUAUAUUGUUUAUACAUAUUUUUUUAUACAUAUUUUUUUUAUUCUUUUUAUAUUAAUGCAUACAUUUUUUUAUAUGAAUACAGGAGACCUUCCUGUACAGAUCCAAAUAAAAUCAGAAUUUACUUCUUUCUUUUUUUAACAAAAAAAUGGCGCAAAUGGACUUUGUAAUCACUUUCAUAUCAGUACAUGUUUUUUUU